rnacentral:tRNA from 1 species
GGUUGUGGCUCAUUGGUAGAGUGCUUGCCUAUCAUGUGUGAGGCACUGGGUUUGAUUCUCAGCACCA